CUACGGGGUGCAGCAGUGGGGAAUAUUGCACAAUGGGCGCAAGCCUGAUGCAGCCAUGCCGCGUGUAUGAAGAGGGCCUUCGGGUUGUAAAGUACUUUCAGCGGGGAGGAAGGGAGUAAAGUUAAUACCUUUGCUCAUUGACGUUACCCGCAGAAGAAGCACCGGCUAACUCCGUGCCAGCAGCCGCGGUAAUACGGAGGGUGCAAGCGUUAAUCGGAAUUACUGGGCGUAAAGCGCACGCAGGCGGUUUGUUAAGUCAGAUGUGAAAUCCCCGGGCUCAACCUGGGAACUGCAUCUGAUACUGGCAAGCUUGAGGCUCGUAGAGGGGGGUAGAAUUCCAGGUGUAGCGGUGAAAUGCGUAGAGAUCUGGAGGAAUACCGGUGGCGAAGGCGGCCCCCUGGACGAAGACUGACGCUCAGGUGCGAAAGCGUGGGGAGCAAACAGGAUUAGAUACCCCUGUAGUC
rnacentral:rRNA from 1 species